GUACUCUGAAGAGUCCCAAAUUAGGACGAAACAGCUGUCCAGUAC
rfam:Trichobilharzia regenti genome assembly, scaffold: TRE_scaffold0034839